GGAGGUAUGGCUCAAGUGGUAGAGCACCUGCUUUGCAAGCACAAGACUCUAAGUUCAGUCCCUACUACAGCCA
rnacentral:tRNA from 1 species